CCUACGGGAGGCAGCAGUAGGGAAUAUUGCUCAAUGGGGGAAACCCUGAAGCAGCAACGCCGCGUGGAGGAUGAAGGUUUUCGGAUUGUAAACUCCUUUUGUUAGAGAAGAUAAUGACGGUAUCUAACGAAUAAGCACCGGCUAACUCCGUGCCAGCAGCCGCGGUAAUACGGCGGGUGAAAGCGUUACUCGGAAUCACUGGGCGUAAAGAGCGCGUAGGCGGGAUAGCAAGUCAGAUGUGAAAGCCUAUGGCUUAACCAUAGAACUGCAUUGGAAACUGUUAUUCUAGAGUAUGGGAGAGGUAGGUGGAAUUCUAGGUGUAGGGGUAAAAUGCGUAGAGAUCAAGAGGAAUACUCAUUGCGAAGGCGACCUGCUAGAACAUAACUGACGCUGAGGCGCGAAAGCGUGGGGAGCAAACAGGAUUAGAUACCCCAGUAGUC
rnacentral:rRNA from 1 species